CACGUAGGAGACGAGCGUUAUCCGGAUUUACUGGGUGUAAAGCGCGUGCAGGCGGUAUGGUAAGUUGGAUGUGAAAGCUCCUGGCUUAACUGGGAGAGGUCGUUCAAAACUACCAGACUUGAGGACAGCAGAGGGGAGUGGAAUUCCGAGUGUAGCGGUAAAAUGCAUAGAUAUUCGGAAGAACACCAGUGGCGAAGGCGGCUCUCUGGGCUGUAACUGACGCUCAGACGCGAAAGCUAGGGUAG
rnacentral:rRNA from 1 species